UACGUAGGGCGCAAGCGUUAUCCGGAAUUAUUGGGCGUAAAGAGCUCGUAGGCGGUUUGUCACGUCUGCUGUGAAAACUGGAGGCUCAACCUCCAGCCUGCAGUGGGUACGGGCAGACUAGAGUGCGGUAGGGGAGAUUGGAAUUCCUGGUGUAGCGGUGAAAUGCGCAGAUAUCAGGAGGAACACCGAUGGCGAAGGCAGGUCUCUGGGCAUUAACUGACGCUGAGGAGCGAAAGCAUGGGGAGCGAACAGG
rnacentral:rRNA from 1 species